rnacentral:misc_RNA from 1 species
AAGAAUGCGAUAUGCAAUGUGAAUUGCAGAACCAUGAAUCAUCGGAUCUUUGAACGCGACUAGCGCGGGCCCUUAAAAGCCUUGCAUACUUGUUUCAGUGUGCGCAAACAAAUAAAUCAUAAAAAUGUGAGAGAAUAUCUCUCAUUAAAUAUAUGCUCCUUGCAGCAGUCACAUUUAUAUGUGAGCUGUAGGUAUGUAACUUUACUUAUUUGCACCUGAAAUCAAGUAAGAUGACCCGCUGGACUUAA